GCUUCUUAUUUAGGUGGCUGUAGUCAAAAACAGAACAGAGUGGUUCAGCCCAUACAAACACACACCUGAAGUUGAAAAGCAUGCCCCAUGCAGCAUCUAAAAUGGCUUCUGAUAUGACACACUUAGGAGGCACUACUCCCUAGCGAGGCCCAUAUGCUGGUGGUCAGACAACUGCUCAAGCACCUCCACGCUUUCUCCGGCCAAGCCAAUGCGAGCCCUCACACCACUGAUGUCUGGGGAAUCUCUGGAGGGUUUCUUCACAUGAUCCAGAGUAAAGUGUUUUCUCUCCUCCAGCACUGUUUCACACACUGGCCACCGGAUCCCACCUUCAGAGCUCCACUGGAGACGUGGUUGAGCUACAUUCAACCGUGGAGGUACGCUGAGCACAGAAACCAACCCUGCAAACAACUGACUAGGGGCGUUGAGGAACACUGGUAAGACAAAAGACUAAAACAAUAGAAUGUGCCACUAACUAUGUUCGUUGUUACACUCAGCAGACACUUUCAUCGGACAUAGCUUGCAGUGCUGCUAACUGAGGUACAGUUAAAUAUAGAUGUAAAAACAUGUUGUGACAUUUUGUAAGGGAUAAUGUAUAGUCCGGCGGUCAUUAUUGAAAGAUAAAUCCUCACGGGACGAACAGGACCCCGAUGCGCAGCGGAGCGUAGAUAGCACAUUUUAAACAGAGUUGAAUCAAAGGUCAAUACAUUGACAAUAAAAAAUACACAGAGGGGAAUAAUAAUCUUUGUAUGUUUAAUUCUUCUGAUAGAAAAACGUUUUUGGAGACCGUCUGUCAAUGUUAUCUCAUUGCUACAGUAAGGAUAAGGCUAGGAUUAAAUGUGUUUGUUACAGAAGUCAACUUACAUGAAAGGUAGGCCUACACAGGCACUACAUUUACAUUCAGUCAUUUAGCAGACGCUUUUGUCCAAAGCGACGUACAAGGGAGAGAAUAGUCAAGCUACGAGCAAUAGAACCUGGUGUAACAAUAAAUACUACUUUACAUAAGA